UAUGAGACACGCAUACUCUCAUAUAACUUGACUCCUCAGAUUCAUCAUCUAGUUUCUCUUUUCUAUGCAAUUAUAAAUAAUAACACAAUAACACUGCAGCUCACUUCCGAUUUAGUAUUAAGAUAAGAUAGACCAGA